GAUGAACGCUGGCGGCGUGCUUAACACAUGCAAGUCGAACGGAAAGGCUCCUGCUUGCAGGGGUACUCGAGUGGCGAACGGGUGAGUAACACGUGGGUGAUCUGCCCUGCACUUCGGGAUAAGCCUGGGAAACUGGGUCUAAUACCGGAUAGGACGAUGGUUUGGAUGCCAUUGUGGAAAGUUUUUUCGGUGUGGGAUGAGCUCGCGGCCUAUCAGCUUGUUGGUGGGGUAAUGGCCUACCAAGGCGUCGACGGGUAGCCGGCCUGAGAGGGUGUACGGCCACAUUGGGACUGAGAUACGGCCCAGACUCCUACGGGAGGCAGCAGUGGGGAAUAUUGCACAAUGGGCGCAAGCCUGAUGCAGCGACGCCGCGUGGGGGAUGACGGCCUUCGGGUUGUAAACUCCUUUCGCUAGGGACGAAGCGCAAGUGACGGUACCUGGAGAAGAAGCACCGGCGAACUACGU
rnacentral:rRNA from 1 species